GAUGAACGCUGGCGGCGUGCUUAACACAUGCAAGUCGAGCGAAGCACUUGUUUGGAACCCUCCGGGAGGAAAAACAUUUGACUGAGCGGCGGACGGGUGAGUAACGCGUGGGGAACCUGCCUUAUACCGGGGGAUAACAGCUGGAAACGGCUGCUAAUACCGCAUAAGCGCACGGCACCGCAUGGUGCAGUGUGAAGCGCUCCGGUGGUAUAAGAUGGACCCGCGUUAGAUUAGCUGGUUGGCGGGGUAACGGCCCACCAAGGCGACGAUCUAUAGCCGGCCUGAGAGGGCGACCGGCCACAUUGGGACUGAGACACGGCCCAAACUCCUACGGGAGGCAGCAGUGGGGAAUAUUGCACAAUGGGCGAAAGCCUGAUGCAGCGACGCCGCGUGAGCGAAGAAGUAUUUCGGUAUGUAAAGCUCUAUCAGCAGGGAAGAAAAUGACGGUACCUGACUAAGAAGCCCCGGCUAACUACGUGCCAGCCGCCGCCGUAA
rnacentral:rRNA from 1 species